rnacentral:rRNA from 1 species
GAACGCUGGCGGCUUGCUUAACACAUGCAAGUCGAACGCUGAAGGCCCAGCUUGCUGGGUUGGAUGAGUGGCGAACGGGUGAGUAACACGUGAGUAACCUGCCCCCUUCUUUGGGAUAACGGUCGGAAACGGCUGCUAAUACCGGGUAUUCACUGUCCUUCGCAUGGGGGGUGGUGGAAAGGUUUUUUCUGGUGGGGGAUGGGCUCGCGGCCUAUCAGCUUGUUGGUGGGGUGAUGGCUUACCAAGGCUUUGACGGGUAACCGGCCUGAGAGGGUGACCGGUCACAUUGGGACUGAGAUACGGCCCAGACUCCUACGGGAGGCAGCAGUGGGGAAUAUUGCACAAUGGGCGAAAGCCUGAUGCAGCGACGCCGCGUGAGGGAUGACGGCCUUCGGGUUGUAAACCUCUUUCGCUCAUGGUCAAGCCGCAACAGUGGUUGUGGUGAGGGUAGUGGGUAAAGAAGCACCGGCUAACUACGUGCCAGCAGCCGCGGUAAUACGUAGGGUGCGAGCGUUGUCCGGAAUUAUUGGGCGUAAAGGGCUUGUAGGCGGUUUGUCGCGUCUGCCGUGAAAUCCUCUGGCUUAACUGGGGGCGUGCGGUG